rnacentral:rRNA from 1 species
GAUGAACGCUGGCGGCGUGCCUAAUACAUGCAAGUCGAGCGAACGGACGAGAAGCUUGCUUCUCUGAUGUUAGCGGCGGACGGGUGAGUAACACGUGGAUAACCUACCUAUAAGACUGGGAUAACUUCGGGAAACCGGAGCUAAUACCGGAUAACAUUUUGAACCGCAUGGUUCAACAGUGAAAGACGGUCUUGCUGUCACUUAUAGAUGGAUCCGCGCCGCAUUAGCUAGUUGGUAAGGUAACGGCUUACCAAGGCAACGAUGCAUAGCCGACCUGAGAGGGUGAUCGGCCACACUGGAACUGAGACACGGUCCAGACUCCUACGGGAGGCAGCAGUAGGGAAUCUUCCGCAAUGGGCGAAAGCCUGACGGAGCAACGCCGCGUGAGUGAAGAAGGUCUUCGGAUCGUAAAACUCUGUUAUUAGGGAAGAACAAAUGUGUAAGUAACUGUGCACGUCUUGACGGUACCUAAUCAGAAAGCCACGGCUAACUACGUG